rnacentral:tRNA from 1 species
GGUGGGGUGGCAGAGCGGCCUAACGCGCCUGCCUUGAGAGCAGGUGGCCUUCAAGCCUCAUGGGUUCAAAUCCCAUCCCCACCG